rnacentral:rRNA from 1 species
UACAGAGGGGGCAAGCGUUGUUCGGAAUUACUGGGCGUAAAGAGCUCGUAGGCGGUCUGUCGCGUCGGCUGUGAAAUCCCGAGGCUCAACCUCGGGUCUGCAGUCGAUACGGGCAAACUGGAGUGUUGCAGGGGAGACUGGAAUUCCUGGUGUAGCGGUGAAAUGCGCAGAUAUCAGGAGGAACACCGGUGGCGAAGGCGGGUCUCUGGGCAACAACUGACGCUGAGGAGCGAAAGCGUGGGGAGCGAACAGG